CGGUGUAGCUCAGUUGGUAGAGCAGCUCACUUGUAAUGAGAAGGUCGAGGGUUCGAUUCCUUUCACCGGC
rnacentral:tRNA from 3 species